rnacentral:piRNA from 1 species
UGUGAUGACGACGAUGGAGGA